GCUGUGAACUUGGAGCACAGUCAAAAUUCGAUGAGAAAACUGGGACUUCUCAUGUCAACGGAGCACAUGAUACUGCGAAACUUGCUGGCCUUCUUGAGAACUUCAUCAAGAAAUACGUCCAGUGUUAUGGUUGUGGAAAUCCUGAAACUGAGAUCAUAAUUACCAAGACUCAAAUGAUCCAGAUGAAAUGUGCUGCUUGUGGUUUUGUGUCUGACGUGGAUAUGAGAGACAAGCUGACUACCUUCAUCAUUAAGAACCCACCAGAGAGUAAGAAGGGCGGCAAGGACAAGAAGGCCAUGAGGAGAGCUGAGAAGGAGAGACUGAAGGAAGGUGAAGCAGCUGAUGAGGAGCUGAAAAAGCUGAAGAAAGAGGCUGUCAAGAAGAAGGGAGCUAAGGAAAGCACCGCAAAAACAAGCUCUUCAAAGAAAAAAGGAAAUGGCUCUGAUGAAGACCACACAUCUCCUACUCGAAGUCAAGUCGAUGAGAAGGAUGAGGCUGAAGAUGAAGAUGAUGUACAGUGGCAAACAGAUACAUCACUAGAGGCUGCUCGGCUGCGGAUCCAAGAACAGUUGAGUGCUGUGACAGCUGAUAUGGUUAUGCUCUCCACAACUGAACCUGAGAAGGAGGAGAAAGCAGCUGCAAAGGUAAGUGACAAUCCCGCUAAUGGUAAUGGUAACUCCAUGAACUACAAGACUCUGGUUGGG
rnacentral:lncRNA from 1 species